rnacentral:rRNA from 1 species
UAGGACUGCAAGUCGAGCCGGGUGCAGCAAUGCACCAGCGGCGAAAGGGACAGUAAUACGUAGAUACCAACCUUGGGGUCGGGGAUAGCCGCGGGAAACUGCGGGUAAUACCCGAUAACAUCUCCGGAUCAAAGGUGUGAUUCCGCCCUUAGACGGGUCUGCGUCCUAUUAGCUUGUUGGUGAGGUAAUGGCUCACCAAGGCUUCGAUGGGUAGCGGGUGUGAGAGCACGACCCGCGUCAUUGGGACUGAGACACUGCCCAGACACCUACGGGUGGCUGCAGUCGAGGAUCUUCGGCAAUGGGCGCAAGCCUGACCGAGCGACGCCGCGUGUGGGAUGAAGGCCUUCGGGUUGUAAACCACUGUCAGUGGGGACGAACGUCCAGUGGGUUCUCCCAUUGGAUUGACAGAUCCGCAGAGGAAGUGAUGGCUAAGCUCGUGCCAGCAGCCGCGGUAAGACGAGCAUCACAAACGUUAUUCGGAAUUACUGGGCUUAAAGGGUGCGUAGGCGGUGCAGCAAGUCGGGAGUGAAAUCCCACAGCUCAACUGUGGAAUUGCUUUCGAUACUGCUGUGCUUGAGUGAGAUAGAGGUAAGCGGAACUUAGGGUGGAGCGGUGAAAUGCGUUGAUAUCCUAAGGAACACCGGUGGCGAAGGCGGCUUACUGGGUCUCUACUGACGCUGAUGCACGAAAGCCGGGGUAGCGAACGGGAUUAGAUACCCCGGUAGUCCUGGCCGUAACUCUG